AAGAUAGUGGCAAACGGGUGAGUAACACGUAAGCAACCUGCCCCCAAGUAAGGGAUAACCCUGAGAAGACAGAGCUAAUACCUUAUGUGGUGAUGCCGUUGAUGCGGCAUCAUUAAAGCCCCCGGGUGCUUGGGGAGGGGCUUGCGCCCGAUUAGCUAGUUGGUAGGGUAACGGCUUACCAAGGCGAUGAUCGGUAGCUGGUCUGAGAGGAUGAGCAGCCACACUGGGACUGAGAUACGGCCCAGACUCCUACGGGAGGGAGCAGCAAGGAAUUUUGUGCAAUGGGCGAAAGCCUGACACAGCGACGCCGCGUGGGGGAAGAAUGCCUUCGGGUUGUAAACCCCUUUUCUCAGGGAAGAAUAAUGACGGUACCUGAGGAAUAAGUCUCGGCUAACUACGUGCCAGCAGCCGCGGUAAUACGUAGGAGGCAAGCGUUAUUCGGAUUUACUGGGCGUAAAGAGGGCGCAGGCGGUUUUUCAAGUCGGGUGUAAAAUCUCCCUGCUCAACGGGGAGGGAUCGCUCGAUACUGUUGAGCUAGAGGGCAGCAGAGGGAGGCGGAAUUCCCGGUGUAAUGGUGAAAUACGUAGAUAUCGGG
rnacentral:rRNA from 1 species